rnacentral:rRNA from 1 species
AGUGUGAGGUAGGCGGAAUGCGUUGUGUAGCGGUGAAAUGCAUAGAUACGACGCAGAACUCCGAUUGCGAAGGCAGCUUACCAACACUUUACGGACGCUGAGGCACGAAAGCGUGGGUAUCGAACAGGAUUAGAUACCCUGGUAGUCCACGCAGUAAACGAUGAAUACUAAUUGUUCGGGGGGCAACCCCUGAGUGAUACAGCGAAAGCGUUAAGUAUUCCACCUGGGGAGUACGCCGGCAACGGUGAAACUCAAAGGAAUUGACGGGGGCCCGCACAAGCGGAGGAACAUGUGGUUUAAUUCGAUGAUACGCGAGGAACCUUACCCGGGCUCAAACGUUGGGGGAAUGCUCCUGAAAGGGAGCAGCCAGCAAUGGUCGCCAACGAGGUGCUGCAUGGUUGUCGUCAGCUCGUGCCGUGAGGUGUCGGCUUAAGUGCCAUAACGAGCGCAACCCCUGCGUCCAGUUACCAUCAAGUCAUGUUGGGGACUCUGGACGGACUGCCGGCGCAAGCCGUGAGGAAGGCGGGGAUGACGUCAAAUCAGCACGGCCCUUACGUCCGGGGCGACACACGUGUUACAAUGGCGUGGAACAGCGGGAAGCCACCUGGCGACAGGGAGCGGACCCCUAAAACACGUCUCAGUUCGGAUUGGAGUCUGCAACUCGACUCCAUGAAGCCGGAUUCGCUAGUAAUCGCGCAUCAGCCAUGGCGCGGUGAAUACGUUCCCGGGCCUUGUACACACCGCCCGUCAAGCCAUGGGAGCCGGNNNNNNNNGAAGUACGUAACCGGAAGGAGCGUCCAAGGGUAACACUGGUGACUGGGGAUAGAGUCGUAACAAGGUAACCA